UUUCUACUCCCUCCGUCCGAAAAUACUUGUCAUCAAAAUGGAUAAAAUAAGAUAUAUCAAAAGUUAAAAUACAUCUAGACACAUUUCCUUUUAUCCAUUUUGAUGACAAGUAUUUUCGGACGUAGGGAGUAUUUG
rfam:Triticum aestivum genome assembly, contig: Triticum_aestivum_CS42_TGACv1_scaffold_050171_1BS